CCCGUACUUGGUGUUACUGCGAAGGGGGGACGGAGAAGGCUAUGUUGGCCGGGCGACGGUUGUCCCGGUUUAAGCGUGUAGGUAUGUGUUCCAGGUAAAUCCGGUUCACUUUAACACUGAGGCGUGACGACGAGGCACUACGGUGCUGAAGCAACAAAUGCCCUGCUUCCAGGAAAAGCCUCUAAGCAUCAGGUAACAUCAAAUCGUACCCCAAACCGACACAGGUGGUCAGGUAGAGAAUACCAAGGCGCUUGAGAGAACUCGGGUGAAGGAACUAGGCAAAAUGGUGCCGUAACUUCGGGAGAAGGCACGCUGACACGUAGGUGAAGUGAUUUACUCACGGAGCUGAAGUCAGCCGAAGAUACCAGCUGGCUGCAACUGUUUAUUAAAAACACAGCACUGUGCAAACACGAAAGUGGACGUAUACGGUGUGACGCCUGCCCGGUGCCGGAAGGUUAAUUGAUGGGGUCAGCGCAAGCGAAGCUCCUGAUCGAAGCCCCGGUAAACGGCGGCCGUAACUAUAACGGUCCUAAGGUAGCGAAAUUCCUUGUCGGGUAAGUUCCGACCUGCACGAAUGGCGUAAUGAUGGCCAGGCUGUCUCCACCCGAGACUCAGUGAAAUUGAACUCGCUGUGAAGAUGCAGUGUACCCGCGGCAAGACGGAAAGACCCCGUGAACCUUUACUAUAGCUUGACACUGAACAUUGAGCCUUGAUGUGUAGGAUAGGUGGGAGGCUUUGAAGUGUGGACGCCAGUCUGCAUGGAGCCGACCUUGAAAUACCACCCUUUAAUGUUUGAUGUUCUAACGUGGACCCGUGAUCCGGGUUGCGGACAGUGUCUGGUGGGUAGUUUGACUGGGGCGGUCUCCUCCUAAAGAGUAACGGAGGAGCACGAAGGUUGGCUAAUCCUGGUCGGACAUCAGGAGGUUAGUGCAAUGGCAUAAGCCAGCUUGACUGCGAGCGUGACGGCGCGAGCAGGUGCGAAAGCAGGUCAUAGUGAUCCGGUGGUUCUGAAUGGAAGGGCCAUCGCUCAACGGAUAAAAGGUACUCCGGGGAUAACAGGCUGAUACCGCCCAAGAGUUCAUAUCGACGGCGGUGUUUGGCACCUCGAUGUCGGCUCAUCACAUCCUGGGGCUGAAGUAGGUCCCAAGGGUAUGGCUGUUCGCCAUUUAAAGUGGUACGCGAGCUGGGUUUAGAACGUCGUGAGACAGUUCGGUCCCUAUCUGCCGUGGGCGCUGGAGAACUGAGGGGGGCUGCUCCUAGUACGAGAGGACCGGAGUGGACGCAUCACUGGUGUUCGGGUUGUCAUGCCAAUGGCACUGCCCGGUAGCUAAAUGCGGAAGAGAUAAGUGCUGAAAGCAUCUAAGCACGAAACUUGCCCCGAGAUGAGUUCUCCCUGAGACUUUAGGUCUCCUGAAGGAACGUUGAAGACGACGACGUUGAUAGGCCGGGUGUGUAAGCGCAGCGAUGCGUUGAGCUAACCGGUACUAAUGAACCGUGAGGCUUAACCUUACAACGCCGAAG
rnacentral:rRNA from 1 species